GGGUUGUGAGGUUAAGCGACUAAGCGUACACGGUGGAUGCCCUGGCAGUCAGAGGCGAUGAAGGACGUGCUAAUCUGCGAUAAGCGUCGGUAAGGUGAUAUGAACCGUUAUAACCGGCGAUUUCCGAAUGGGGAAACCCAGUGUGUUUCGACACACUAUCAUUAACUGAAUCCAUAGGUUAAUGAGGCGAACCGGGGGAACUGAAACAUCUAAGUACCCCGAGGAAAAGAAAUCAACCGAGAUUCCCCCAGUAGCGGCGAGCGAACGGGGAGCAGCCCAGAGCCUGAAUCAGUGUGUGUGUUAGUGGAAGCGUCUGGAAAGGCGCGCGAUACAGGGUGACAGCCCCGUACACAAAAAUGCACAUGCUGUGAGCUCGAUGAGUAGGGCGGGACACGUGGUAUCCUGUCUGAAUAUGGGGGGACCAUCCUCCAAGGCUAAAUACUCCUGACUGACCGAUAGUGAACCAGUACCGUGAGGGAAAGGCGAAAAGAACCCCGGCGAGGGGAGUGAAAAAGAACCUGAAACCGUGUACGUACAAGCAGUGGGAGCACGCUUAGGCGUGUGACUGCGUACCUUUUGUAUAAUGGGUCAGCGACUUAUAUUCUGUAGCAAGGUUAACCGAAUAGGGGAGCCGAAGGGAAACCGAGUCUUAACUGGGCGUUAAGUUGCAGGGUAUAGACCCGAAACCCGGUGAUCUAGCCAUGGGCAGGUUGAAGGUUGGGUAACACUAACUGGAGGACCGAACCGACUAAUGUUGAAAAAUUAGCGGAUGACUUGUGGCUGGGGGUGAAAGGCCAAUCAAACCGGGAGAUAGCUGGUUCUCCCCGAAAGCUAUUUAGGUAGCGCCUCGUGAAUUCAUCUCCGGGGGUAGAGCACUGUUUCGGCAAGGGGGUCAUCCCGACUUACCAACCCGAUGCAAACUGCGAAUACCGGAGAAUGUUAUCACGGGAGACACACGGCGGGUGCUAACGUCCGUCGUGAAGAGGGAAACAACCCAGACCGCCAGCUAAGGUCCCAAAGUCAUGGUUAAGUGGGAAACGAUGUGGGAAGGCCCAGACAGCCAGGAUGUUGGCUUAGAAGCAGCCAUCAUUUAAAGAAAGCGUAAUAGCUCACUGGUCGAGUCGGCCUGCGCGGAAGAUGUAACGGGGCUAAACCAUGCACCGAAGCUGCGGCAGCGACGCUUAUGCGUUGUUGGGUAGGGGAGCGUUCUGUAAGCCUGUGAAGGUGUGUUGUGAGGCAUGCUGGAGGUAUCAGAAGUGCGAAUGCUGACAUAAGUAACGAUAAAGCGGGUGAAAAGCCCGCUCGCCGGAAGACCAAGGGUUCCUGUCCAACGUUAAUCGGGGCAGGGUGAGUCGACCCCUAAGGCGAGGCCGAAAGGCGUAGUCGAUGGGAAACAGGUUAAUAUUCCUGUACUUGGUGUUACUGCGAAGGGGGGACGGAGAAGGCUAUGUUGGCCGGGCGACGGUUGUCCCGGUUUAAGCGUGUAGGCUGGUUUUCCAGGCAAAUCCGGAAAAUCAAGGCUGAGGCGUGAUGACGAGGCACUACGGUGCUGAAGCAACAAAUGCCCUGCUUCCAGGAAAAGCCUCUAAGCAUCAGGUAACAUCAAAUCGUACCCCAAACCGACACAGGUGGUCAGGUAGAGAAUACCAAGGCGCUUGAGAGAACUCGGGUGAAGGAACUAGGCAAAAUGGUGCCGUAACUUCGGGAGAAGGCACGCUGAUAUGUAGGUGAAGUCCCUCGCGGAUGGAGCUGAAAUCAGUCGAAGAUACCAGCUGGCUGCAACUGUUUAUUAAAAACACAGCACUGUGCAAACACGAAAGUGGACGUAUACGGUGUGACGCCUGCCCGGUGCCGGAAGGUUAAUUGAUGGGGUCAGCGCAAGCGAAGCUCUUGAUCGAAGCCCCGGUAAACGGCGGCCGUAACUAUAACGGUCCUAAGGUAGCGAAAUUCCUUGUCGGGUAAGUUCCGACCUGCACGAAUGGCGUAAUGAUGGCCAGGCUGUCUCCACCCGAGACUCAGUGAAAUUGAACUCGCUGUGAAGAUGCAGUGUACCCGCGGCAAGACGGAAAGACCCCGUGAACCUUUACUAUAGCUUGACACUGAACAUUGAGCCUUGAUGUGUAGGAUAGGUGGGAGGCUUAGAAGUGUGGACGCCAGUCUGCAUGGAGCCGACCUUGAAAUACCACCCUUUAAUGUUUGAUGUUCUAACGUUGACCCGUAAUCCGGGUUGCGGACAGUGUCUGGUGGGUAGUUUGACUGGGGCGGUCUCCUCCUAAAGAGUAACGGAGGAGCACGAAGGUUGGCUAAUCCUGGUCGGACAUCAGGAGGUUAGUGCAAUGGCAUAAGCCAGCUUGACUGCGAGCGUGACGGCGCGAGCAGGUGCGAAAGCAGGUCAUAGUGAUCCGGUGGUUCUGAAUGGAAGGGCCAUCGCUCAACGGAUAAAAGGUACUCCGGGGAUAACAGGCUGAUACCGCCCAAGAGUUCAUAUCGACGGCGGUGUUUGGCACCUCGAUGUCGGCUCAUCACAUCCUGGGGCUGAAGUAGGUCCCAAGGGUAUGGCUGUUCGCCAUUUAAAGUGGUACGCGAGCUGGGUUUAGAACGUCGUGAGACAGUUCGGUCCCUAUCUGCCGUGGGCGCUGGAGAACUGAGGGGGGCUGCUCCUAGUACGAGAGGACCGGAGUGGACGCAUCACUGGUGUUCGGGUUGUCAUGCCAAUGGCACUGCCCGGUAGCUAAAUGCGGAAGAGAUAAGUGCUGAAAGCAUCUAAGCACGAAACUUGCCCCGAGAUGAGUUCUCCCUGACCCUUUAAGGGUCCUGAAGGAACGUUGAAGACGACGACGUUGAUAGGCCGGGUGUGUAAGCGCAGCGAUGCGUUGAGCUAACCGGUACUAAUGAACCGUGAGGCUUAACCUUACAACGCCGAAGCUGUU
rnacentral:rRNA from 1 species